AUUGAACGCUGGCGGCAUGCUUUACACAUGCAAGUCGAACGGUAACAGGGAGCUUGCUCCGCUGACGAGUGGCGAACGGGUGAGUAAUGCGUCGGAACGUGCCGAGUAGUGGGGGAUAACGCAUCGAAAGGUGUGCCAAUACCGCAUACGAACUGAGGUUGAAAGUGGGGGACCUUCGGGCCUCACGCUAUUCGAGCGGCCGACGUCUGAUUAGCUAGUUGGUGAGGUAAAGGCUCACCAAGGCGACGAUCAGUAGCGGGUCUGAGAGGAUGAACCGCCACAAUGGGACUGAGACACGGCCCAGACUCCUACGGGAGGCAGCAGUGGGGAAUUUUGGACAAUGGGCGCAAGCCUGAUCCAGCCAUGCCGCGUGUCUGAAGAAGGCCUUCGGGUUGUAAAGGACUUUUGUCCGGGAGCAAAUGCUGGUGGCUAACAUCCACCGGAGCUGAGAGUACCGGAAGAAUAAGCACCGGCUAACUACGUGCCAGCCGCCGCCGUAAAAC
rnacentral:rRNA from 1 species